rnacentral:misc_RNA from 1 species
UCAAGCCAAUGAAAAUAGUUCUAUUAUCCUUGUCCUUGAUUGCCUCCAAAGUUGCAAGCAUAGCUUCGUCCGAAACAUUCUCUAGCCCAUUAAGCUUCUCAAUGCAAUCCUCCAUUGAAUAUGACUUUUGCUCACGGUUCAGAAGCUCUUUUGCUAUCUGCAAGCACUGCUUACCAAUCUCUAAGAACUCCUUGAACACGUUGGUAUCGGUUGUAGAAGUUGCUUUGCAUGUGCAUGGAGAUGA